rnacentral:rRNA from 1 species
AUUGAACGCUGGCGGCAGGCCUAACACAUGCAAGUCGAACGAGUGGCGGACGGGUGAGUAAUGUCUGGGAAACUGCCCGAUGGAGGGGGAUAACUACUGGAAACGGUAGCUAAUACCGCAUACCAUCGGAUUUGCCCAGCUGGGAUUAGCUUGUAGGUGAGGUAACGGCUCACCUAGGCGACGAUCCCUAGCUGGUCUGCGAGGAUGACCAGCCACAAUGGAACUGUGACACGGUCAGGACUGCUACGGGAGACAUCAGGGGGGAAUAUUGGACAAUGUGCGCAAGCCUGAUACAGCCAUGCCGCGUGUAUGAGGAGGGCCGUCGGGUUGUAAAGGACUAUCAGCGGGGAGGCGGUACCCGCAGAAGAAGCACCGGCUAACUCCGUGCCAGCAGCCGCGGUAAUUC